rnacentral:misc_RNA from 1 species
AAAUCAUUAAAAAUGAUGUAAUGAAGUAAGAGAUGGUUUAAGUAAAAGAUUAAAAAUAUAUAUUGUCAGAAAUUUGUAUUAAAAAUUUUCAAAUAAAUUUUAUGUUUGCAUAUAUAUUGCGUGAGAGUUAUGAGCCAAACUUAAAUUGAAGUGAAAGCCACUAUGUAUUUGGUUUAAAAAGUCAAAAGCCCUAAAUUGAAGAGAAAACCACUAUGUAUUUGGUUUAUAAAUUAGGUCUUCAGAAAGUUAAACAUAGUUCAAAAAAAAAUUCCUUUUUUGUCCCUCUUUCUUCUCCUCUCUAUCUUGUACUGUCUCCAACCCAAUUCAUCAAGAAGAAGAAGCAGCUUUAGUUUUUUUGGAAACAUUAGGCUAAAAAUUUAUGAUUUUACAAAGAGGGUUAGGACUUUAAAAGCAAGUAACUUUUAAUAUAUGCCUUCCAAAAGACAAACAAAACAAAGACAAUGCUCUGAAAAAACAAAUAAAAUAAAAUAGUGUUUUAGAAA